rnacentral:rRNA from 1 species
GAUGAAAGACGUAAUAGCCUGCGAUAAGCUUCGGGGAGGCGGCAAAUAUCCUGUGAUCCGGAGAUUUCUGAAUGGGGAAACCCACUUACCAUAAGGUAGGUAUCGCAUGAUGAAUACAUAGUCAUGCGAGGCGAACGAGGGGAAGUGAAACAUCUCAGUACCCUUAGGAAAAGAAAUCAAUUGAGAUUCCCUCAGUAGCGGCGAGCGAACGGGGAUCAGCCCAUUAAGUUAUAUGUGUUUUAGCGGAAAGCUCUGGGAAGUGCUACCGUAGAGGGUGAUAGUCCCGUACACGAAAGGGCACAUAUAAUGAUGACGAGUAGGGCGAGGCACGWGAAACYUUGUCUGAAUAUGGGGGGACCAUCCUCCAAGGCUAAAUACUMCUGACUGACCGAUAGUGAACYAGUACCGUGAGGGAAAGGCGAAAAGAACCCCKGYGAGGGGAGUGAAAUAGAWCCUGAAACCGYRURCRUACAARCAGURGGAGCSKACUUGUUMSGUGACUGCGUACCUUUUGUAUAAUGGGUCAGCGACUUAUAU